GUUUCCGUGGUGUAGUGGUUAUCACGUCCGCCUCACACGCGGAAGGUCCCCUGUUCGAUUCUGAGCGGAAACA
rnacentral:tRNA from 1 species